CCUUCUCUCUUUGAGGUUAGGGUUUCUGGGUGCGUCUAUUUUGAAUCAAUUCGAUGUGCGUGCGUCUUCAACAACAACAAAUUCGAAUCGAUUUCGAACCAAAAAUCAGAAAUUCGAGUUUAGGGUUUUUAAGGGUUUCGUCUGUUGAAGUUGGCGGCACCUUCUUGCGAGCCUUAUUGCGACCUAUGCACCCUUCCCCGAUUUCGUUGUGGAGUUCUUCAGUUGUGCUCCAUCAAUCAAGGUUUGAUCAUCUUUUCUAAAUGGCAUCAGCAGCCUCUAUAGCCUUUAUGUCAUAUUUAGAUUGCUGCCAGGGUAUCCAGCUACAAAAGGGCAGAUUUCCAAUUGCAUAUGAAAGUCAAGGAGCAUCUCUACUGCCAGCCUUGUCUUUCCUGUCUCUACACCAUCGAAAUCGCAUAGGGCUUCUCAGAGCUACACGACGCCCUCCGGUAGUCUGUGCACGCCACCCCAAGAUUUUCUAAGGAUGGUGUGAAGUAUAUUGAAGAGAUAAAAAUGAGAGUGAACCUUGUUAUCCCAACUCCACCAUCUCCAGAGUUCCUAUUAAGGACAGGAUGCCACGUGCCUGUGCGUGGAGUCAGCGGUUCGAGAAGAAGUCCGUUGACCGCCUCUGAUCGAUACGGUUAUUGCUUGACAAGAUGUCCCCUUAGAGGUAAAGUGUAUAAAUUAUUUCUAAUUUUAUAUUGUGAUGCAUUAAUUAUAUGAAUCUUACUAAUUUGAAAAAAUGUGCAGGUGAACUGGAUGUCUUUCGGCCAGAACCCUAGUAAUAGGGUACCCAGGACCCUCUACACGAGACUGAUUCAGUAUCGUGAGAUCGUAGAGACGUACAUGCCUCAGCGCUGUCUUCGCCAGCUUGGAUUUGUCCAAAUUGUCCCUCCUCCACCAGCAUGGCCCAGUAAGGCGGUCCAAUUUGCGUCGUCGAAGGAAUACAUCGUCCAAUGGCCAGAAAGCAUGAUUGUCACGUGGGAGCAGUUUCCGAUGGUUGCCCACCUAUAUAUGGACUGCGGAGCUGCAGAGGCUGCCAAUUGGGGUGCCUCCCAUGUGUGACCACCACAACAUGAAAUGGUACAGCCGGCAUUCGCACCCGAGGUUGAUCAGAGACCUCCACCAUGGCGACGACGCCAAUGAUGAUGAUGUGCCACCGCCCACUGCCGUGGAUGCGUGGAUGGGAAAUAUGAUGCAGCUGGGACAAAGAGUCUUUCAGGAGAGGGACAACAUGACGACUGCAUCAGGCAGAGCUGUUAUUGAUGAUAUGGAACGGGCCCUUGCGCAGUGGCAGUGGGUGUCAAAGAGGGAUUACUGAUCUGUUGACAGUUUAUUUAUAGAGCAUUUUGUAUAUUAUCAUAGUAGUUUGUAAAAUCUGACAUUAUCGUUUAACUUUGUAACAUUUGACAUUAUCAUUUUAAGUUUUUAAAAUUCGACAUUAUAUUUUUAGUUUGUAACGCGCAAAUACUAAUUAGUAUGCAUGCAAGAUAUAAAUUUAGUUAAAAUUAAAAUACAAAAAAUAAAUAAAUGGAAUAAAAA